rnacentral:lncRNA from 1 species
CGUCUUUGACCUUCAUUUACAGAAUACUACGGGGCAUUCCCCGGAAUAAAAUAUAUACAAAUUCUUUGGGGCAUUCCCCGGAUAUAUUAAACUAAGGAAACAAUCUCUCGCCUGAAAACUAACAAAAAUCCUAAAGAUUGCCUACCCAGGUGAUGGCGGCCUAUGCAUGCUCCUACCCAAAAAGUAACUAAAACAAGGAUAAAAGAACAAUAUUAAUAUCUUGAACCUAAAAUUUCUUUUAAUUUUUACUCGGCAACCAAAUUUCUAUAUUGCGAUAAAAUCAUGUCCAACUAUAAUCAAUGUGAGUAACAUACGAGAAGAUAACUAGGUGAACAAAUUCAAAACCAUAGAGAACACCUACACAAUAAAUGGAAUCAUAUCACCAAAAAAACAAUUAACAUUAAGCUUAAAUAAACGAAUAGGGAAUGAAAGAGUUGAACCUCAAAAUAGUCGAAACAAUGGAUCGUUUCAAUGUUUUGGACUGAAAAAUUUGAUGAACAGCAAAUGGAACUCGAAUUAGCACUGGAAAGCUCGGAUAGGGACAGUGAACUAUUUUUGUUGAAAUUUCUCCACACCUGUUUCUCUUUAUACCCGUUAUUUAUUUAUUUUUGUUCUUUUUUUUUUUUUAAGUUUCAAAUCUCUAUUUGCUGCUCUUGUCACUACUGUAGGUGUCUUCUAAGUUUAUGGGGUGCCGACGACUAUGGUGUUAGAGUGUGGUGGUCGUGAUAGUGAGAUUUUUGAGAGAAGGUGUCGCUGGAUUAGGGUGGAUAGACGAGGGGGUUUGGGGCUAGUCGUUGUAGCUGAAGCUUAAGUGUGAUAGCUGAGGGGGUGGCGAAUUUUGAGAUGAGGGGGUGGGGUAACGGCUGGUGGUCGAUAUUUAGGGAUUUCCAACGAGUUUUUGGCGUGGAGAAGGUGGAGAUCAGGGGUCGUUGGUUGAAGAAUGAUUGCGGAGAGAAUGGUGGAGUGAGAGGCUGAUUUCCGGCGAUUUUGAGAGAUGAAGAAGAUGGGGUCGCGGCAGAAGCAUAUGUUUGAGACUGUGGUGGUCAACGACUUUCCGGCGGAUUUCAAGCGGCGGCGACUGGUGGUGAGUCCUUUUAGUCUCUAGGGUUUUUGUUAUAGUGUCUAGGGUUGAAGGGAUGAUGUGGUCGGCUGGAAGUUGAAGAUAAAGAAGCAUGGGUCGUCGCCGGAGUUGAAGGGGUUACCGGCGGCUCAUUGAGGUGAAGGAGCCUGGGCGGCGGCACUGGUCUUCUAGGGUUCAACCCUUGUGUGUAUUCCUUGGGGUUGUUUGGUGUUGUCUCUAUAUGUGUAUAUGGUGAAGAAGAGGGGUUGGCUUGAAUUUUUGGAUGAAGAAGAAAGUGGGCGGCCUCAGGGUUCAGGCGGAUAACAACGGCGGCGGUUUUAGGGUGGUGAAAAAAAUAGGUCCUAGUUUUUUUUUUGCUCCUAAUAUGUCUAUUAAGG